rnacentral:tRNA from 1 species
GCGCCGGUAGCUAAAGAGGCAUAAGCACAUACUGGCGUGGCGUUCAAUUCCCGUCAGGCAUGGUCGUAGCACUAGCUGCGUGCCGGUUCGAGUCCGGUCCGGCGCACCA